rnacentral:tRNA from 1 species
UCCGAUGUGGUGUAUCGGCUAGCAUCACCCGCUUUCACCACGAAGGUCCGGGUAGAGCCGGGUUCGACUCCCGGCAUCGGAA